rnacentral:rRNA from 1 species
UACAGAGGGUGCGAGCGUUGUUCGGAAUCACUGGGCGUAAAGCGCGCGCAGGCGGAACGUCAAGUCGGAAGUGAAAUCUCGCCGCUCAACGGCGAGGCUGCUUUCGAUACUGGCGCUCUAGGGAGUGGUAGAGGCUGGUAGAAUUGCAGGUGUAGCGGUGGAAUGCGUAGAGAUCGGAAAGAACACCAACGGCGAAAGCACUCUGCUGGGCCGACACUGACACUGAGAGACGAAAGCUAGGGGAGCGAAUGGG